GGGGGAAUAUUGCACAAUGGGCGCAAGCCUGAUGCAGCCAUUCCGCGUGUAUGAAUAAGGCCUUCGGGUUGUAAAGUACUUUCAGUCGGGAGGAAGGUGGUAAGGUUAAUAACCUUAUCAAUUGACGUUACCGACAGAAGAAGCACCGGCUAACUCCGUGCCAGCAGCCGCGGUAAUACGGAGGGUGCAAGCGUUAAUCGGAAUUACUGGGCGUAAAGCGCACGCAGGCGGUUGAUUGAGUCAGAUGUGAAAUCCCCGGGCUUAACUCGGGAAUUGCAUCUGAUACUGGUCAGCUAGAGUCGUGUAGAGGGGGGUAGAAUUCCAUGUGUAGCGGUGAAAUGCGUAGAGAUGUGGAGGAAUACCGGUGGCGAAGGAGGCCCCCUGGACAAAGACUGACGCUCAGGUGCGAAAGCGUGGGGAGCAAACAGG
rnacentral:rRNA from 1 species